rnacentral:misc_RNA from 1 species
UUAUUUUUUGUAUAUUCUCCCAUAUAUAUAUACACACACUUACGCGCGCGUGCAUGUAUGGAAUACGCAACUAUUUUGAGUUGAUCAAAAACAGGGAAUACUCAUCGUUGAAAUAGAUGGAAAAUUCAUUUACUGUUAUGUUUAUGUGUGUGUUUGGGAAAUAGUUUUGUGAGUUAUAAACGAAUGAGAUCAUGCCAGUCAACUGUCUAAUUUGCCUGUUCCUUUAAAGGAUUCUACUGGAUUGUAUUAUUUUGGAGUCAAAGUGCGUGGGUUGUUAUUCGUGCAGUACGAAAUAAAUGUCUUUCAAUACAUCAAAGAAGCAUUGUGUGCGUGUUUUGGUGUUUGUUCUCUACCGCCACCGCUUGACAACCGGUGUUGAUUUAUUUACGUCCCCGUGAAAGCGGUUCGGCAUGUAAGAUUGGUAGAAUGAGUAUCAGGCUUUAAUAAAAUGAGGACUUGGAUCAAUUUGACUGAAACCCUUCGAGGCAGUGGCUCAGCGUGGUCGCACUCCAAUGAUAAAAAAGCAAAAGAUAAAAGAUACAGAGUCGUUUCGUCACAAGAAGAAGCAUCUAUAUGGUCGUUCAAUCUGUUGGAAAUAGCAACUGAAUCUUCGUUAAAUCACAAUUUACCACUUUAAGAAAAGUGCUUAUUGGCCAAUACGGUACUCAGUCGAGUAUUUCCCUGGUGGAGUUAAAGCUAGAAAAGCGAAAUAUGCUAUAAUUCUCAUUGUUAUUAAUUUUUUUAUCGGUUAGUUUGUUCUGUACUUCCGGUCGUCCACACCAUUUCUGUAUUGGGACUUCUUCAUGUUUCUACUGCUUCGUUAUUUCAGACAUCAUCCUGAAAUAUAAGUACAUGUGUGAUAGCAGCAAAUGUUGGGUAUUUAAGAAAUAUAAAGAAGGGGUAUGUUUUUGUUUAAGCUUCAGAAAUAGAAACUAGUAUGUUGAGGAACUGUUUUUUACUUGGGAAAUGAAAUUUUUAAAAAGCUGUAGAAUUUAAAGCAAUCAUACCUACAGUCAACUCUAUUGGAUGUAAUGCCAAUGUAAAUAACAAAGAAAAAUUGUAAAAUGUUGCACCUCUGUAUACACCAAAAUAUUAAAGAAGAACUGGCUUGUAAAAGUAAAAGAUCAUACAAUUGUGAGAUGUGUGGUAGUCUCUGGUAGUUGUAGUUUAAGAAGACAUAAAAUGAUUCACACUGGUGGAAAACAUUUCCAAUGUAAGAUUUAUGGUAAGACAUUGUUAAUGAAAUGCAAUUUACUGAAGUAUAAAUUAUCACAUACAUAUGAAAAGCCAUAUCAAUGUGGGAUUUGUGAAGAAGGUUUCUUACUGAGUGGUCACCUAAAAGAGACAUGAAAUGAUCCACACAAGUGAAAAACCAUGCCAAUGUGAGAUUUGUAGUAAAGCCUUUUCAUGGACUGGUCACUUAAAGACACACAUACUCGUUCAUAUAGGAAUAAAAUCAUACCAUUGAAAUUUGUGAUGAAGCAUUCUCAUUAAGUUGGAACUUCAGAAGUCACAAACUGACACAUGAAGACAAACAUCCAUACCAUUGUGAAAUCUGUUGUAAAGAAUUGUUGUCUAAUAUUGCCUUAGAAAUACACAUCUUGGUUCAUACAGAAAAGAAAUCAUACCAUUGUGAUAUUUGUUCUAAACAUUUUCUUUAAAAUGUAAUUUAACAAAGCAUACACUAACUCACACAAGAGAGAAAUAUGAUAUUUAUGGUAAAUAUUUUCAGUGUAAUAUUGAAUUGAAGAACCAUAAAAAAUAUUCAUAGUAAAGAGAGGAUCAAUGAAGAUGAAAUUUAAAUCAAAGUGUUCUAAUACACAAAGAAUUUGUUUAGACAAUGGCAUAUGCCAAUGAAAAAACUUUGGCUAGUAAAACUCAUUGAAAGAAUUCAUUUAAAAUCCAAAGUGGUUCACACUGGAGAUCAGUUGUCUAGAAAAGCAUUCAUUAAAUAAUGCUGCAUAACACAGAAAUCACAGUAAUGAGGAAUUUGUGAUAAAAUAUUUUCAUUUCUCAUUAGCUUAAAGGAGAAACUAUGUGAUUUUUUUAUAAUGUUGAAGAGCGUAGGCUCGAAACAUUAAAGACUUUUUCACUUCCCGAGCG